ensembl:lncRNA
CAGCUAGCUUAACCCUGGAGACUGCAGGCAGCCCUCCAGAAGCCAUGUCCUCACAGUGAAGCAGCGGGGUUCACACACACUGAACAAAAGCUAGGUCAUCUAUGAUUACAGGCUUCCCAGUGUAGACACAAACACACAAAACAACUUUGGAGUGAGCAGUUGUCGUCUUAUGGCAGAGGCAAGCUGUGUCUUUGCGUUGUUUGUGCUGGCAGCGUUUCCUCUCCAAAUAAACAUACUGUUCAGUUGGUAUUUAAUGCUUUAUUUCUCACAGGGCAGCAAUGUUGCUCAUGCCACCCCACACAUUGGCUCCAAAAGCUGGCAGAUGGACAGGCGGACAGAUGUGUACUCAUCAGCAGACAGCUGGAUUGACCAUCCAUCAAAAGACAGGCAGGUGUUAAGAUAGUUCUACGAGAGGGAGCGCGUCCUUCAAUGUCAACAGGCAUACAUACCCACAACCGCCACCCACUCCUUCCACCUCUCACGGUCCUCUCCUGCCUGACAGCUUAUCAGGACCCUGGCAGACACUCUGAUCGGGGUUGCUGAGCGCAGCCUGUAUGUUUGUUUGCUUCUUAUCCCACCUUGUGGCGUGGCGUGCGGCACAGUGCGCCCCGAGCCCCUCAGUGUACCCUGCAUGGAGGAGAGAGAUAAAACAACAAAAAAAACUGCCAUGAAGAUUGCAGUCAGAAAAGAAGCCGUCAUCACUGGAGGAAUCUGAGUGCCCUUCCCGGAGGAGAGGAGAGAAGAGGAGAGGGGACGCUAAAAAUUGUAUUUGCCUUGAGGUUCGGAUGCAGUUUAAAGCUGUUGUGCACAGCUGCCUGGUAAGGAGAGUACAGCAGUGGGAAAGAGUAUAACUUGUUUAAGGGAAUCAUCCCUUUGGGGCUUGCACCACAUCUGGUGCCUUUUGGCAACUUUUGCACAAUAUGAUUUCUCUUAAAUAUUUGAUUGCCUAAUGUUGCAGAGAAAUUUGCAUCUCUAAGUGCUCCAAAAGAGUUGAACCAAUCACUGCAGACCAACGUAUGCACGUAGUUCAUUGUUUAAAGGUGACUGGAGCAUAGAGAGUAAAAAAAAAGUUAGGAUUAGUGUAAAAUCAAUUUGAAUGAAGAGUAAUUUUAAAUUCACAGCAGUACGACGGUGAGAGUAAAGAACAUCUCCCAUUUCAUUUGAAUUUUUCAAAAGAAAAUGCUUUUUGUAUUUCAACUCAAUACAUUAUUUUAUUAGAUUUGGAACGGCAUCGAUUACUCGGUUACUACGCACAGCUGACAACUCGUCCACGCAACGCUUGACAGUAGCUUGAAACAGCUUGACAACAGCACUAGUCCCGCCCAUGGUGCUGAUUGGCUCAAUGACCUUUUAAUUAAAGAGAUGCUGUAUCAUGGCACGAUGCCAGAUGAAUCAGUUGACUCAAACUUGAUGAAGUGUGCAAAUAAAAGCUCCUGGCCUGGGCAAAACUGCUAAACUCUUGACAGUUUCUCCUUUUAACUUUUAUUCAAUCGGGACUGAAAUCUUAAACAUUAUUGUUCAGUCUGGUACUCUGUGUUUGCCUAAAAAUGUCUUAUUCAGCAUACGGUUGUACUUGGACGCAUCACCCUCAGCCAAGCGACUGACAACCAGAAUGCCUCAAACCUGAGGGUGAUGUCACGGUUACUACGUCCAAAUCCUAUAAACAGCCUAUGAGCUUUACACAGCGGACUCCGUCAUUGUGUUAUUGGAAACCCAAAAUGAAAGAACAAUGCUUGUUAAAACAGGGUUAUCUUUUUUAAUGAAAUAAUAGAUGCCUAAUUGAUUAAAGUUUCAUGAGUAUGUGUCUCAGCUGGAUAGCAU